rnacentral:rRNA from 1 species
AACUUCUGAAUGUGACCUCGGAUCAGGUAG